rnacentral:rRNA from 1 species
UACAGAGGGUGCAAGCGUUAAUCGGAAUUACUGGGCGUAAAGGGCGCGUAGGUUGCUAUAUAAGUUGUUUGUGAAAUCCCCGGGCUUAACCUGGGAACUGCAAGCAAAACUGUAUAGCUGGAGUACUGUAGAGGGUAGUGGAAUUUCCGGUGUAGCGGUGAAAUGCGUAGAGAUCGGAAGGAACACCAGUGGCGAAGGCGGCUACCUGGACAGAUACUGACACUGAGGCGCGAAAGCGUGGGUAGCAAACAGG